GAAGUUACGAGCAAAACAUCACAAGUGGCAAAACCGUAAAUAUUUCAAAAUGGGUUUUUAAUAAAAAAAACCUGAAAACACACACAUUCUCUCUCGCUCUCUCUCUCCUAGCUGGGCUAGCGCAGAACCCCUCCCCUUCCCGAUUUUUGAACAGCCGAGCGGCUCUUGGAGCCGUCGCCGCCGCCGUGGUCCACCACCGGAGCUGGGUCCGGUCUUGAAAUGACCGGUGAGGCCUCACCGUCCUAACCCACCCAAUCUCCACCGCUAACAGUUUGCGCAACCUCCGAAUUUUGCUAAAAAUCCAGCCGGAUUUCGAGCUGUUUUUUCUUCAAUCGUUUCGGACGCCUCCGGCCACCAUUCCAGGCAAUCAAGGUAAAGGAGCUUCAACAUAUGAACGAUGUAGCGUUGAGAAUGAUCAGCGGUUGUCUCAAGCCAAAGAUCUUCAAGGAGAAUGAGAUGGUGAUUGAAGCGGGACAGCCACUUAACUCGAUGCUCAUUAUUACAGCAGGCUCAAUGCUGGCGUACAAGCCAAUUAGGGUUGCUACAGAGGUGAGUCCCUCAACCUCAUUUGAAACUCUUGAUAAAGGUAUGUUUGUUGGAGAACAACUUCUGGAUUGGGCAGGGAAAACCAAAACUUUCGAUGACCAACCUGUUUCAUUCAAAACUAUCUGAUGCUCCAAAAAAGUAGAAGCCUUUGCUCUCACAGUUGAUGACUUGGAAACUUUAGUGCUCUCCGGACACAUCUUUCCGAUGAAGUCAAAAGUUGGCAUUUUCAAAAUUGCUGCUGACCGGAAGAUACGUGAGAAACUAGAGGCGAUAUUUUGGUGGAUGGCAAUAAAUGGCAUUUCUGAUGAUGUGGCGAUAGAUAUUAUACAUGGUUUUAGUCAAGGUAAAUUGAAAGAAAACAUUCAUGCUGAAGUGGAUGUGAAUUAUAUGUUCUUUGUUCUUGAAGAAUAUGGAAAAAGCAUUAUGCGGCGCCAUUUCUGCAUGGAGACCUUGAAAAAAGUAGGUUCCUUUUUCUAUUUUUUUUUUUGGGGGUCCAAAAUGUGUUCAUGGAUCUCUAUAUAGAAAACUCUUUAGAGUCAUAUAAAAAUAGAUCAUUGAAAGCUCUAUAUAUAAUAACCCAAUAAUAUUACUGUUGUGCAAA